GUGUUCACUUUAGCAGCACAUCUGCUAAAAUUGAAAGGAUCCAGAGAAAGUUUGCAUGGCUCCUGCACAAGGAUGACAUCCAAAAGCUUGGUAUGGAACCUGGACAG